rnacentral:tRNA from 1 species
GCCCACGUGAUGGAAUUGGUAGACAUGAGGGAUUCAAAAUCCCUUUCCUUCGGGAGUGGCGGUUCGAGCCCGCCUGUGGGCACCA